CAGCAUAUGUGGGACCUCCGUCACGACUGUUGGAAAAGCAUUCCAGGUGCACUAUCCAUCCUUCUUAACCUAUGCAGCCAGGUCCCAUCUACUUUUUAACUCCUCGCAAGUGUGGCUUGUUUGGUGUCUGCUGUGAAGGAAUACCACAACAAGUCAACUACUUGAUUGAUUGAUGUAUUUCAGCAAAGGCAGCAGCGCAGUCACCAACGACAUGCGCCAUUUCUUCACCAUCACGGAGUAGGGGAAACGUGUGGACCUGAAUUGUGAUAACUGCAGUGGCAAAAACAAGAACAAGUCUGUGCUCUGGUAUUGUGCCUGGCGGACCAUGCACAAGCUCCACCACAGUUUGGACCUUCACUUCCUGAUCACAGGCCACACCAUGUUUGCCCCCGACUGGUGCUUCAGCCUCAUCAAGCAGUGCUCCAGAUAGACCAGAGGGAACACUUUGUCUGAGAUUGCUGGUGUUGUGAAGGACAGCACUGUGACGGGUCCACAUCCUACAGCUGAUUGGACUGGAGGAUGGUACGGUACUGGUGGAAAGCUAUGGCUGGCAACAACACCUGACUCCGUACUUCAGGCCGCUGCCACAGAUCAAGCAGUACCAGCACUUCAGCUUUGAUGCUCUGGAGCCUGGUGGUGUUGUCGCCAAGGAGCGUUCGGACUCAGUCAGGACCAGGUUUCAUUCAAUACAUCCUUUAAGCCAAAUAAUAUGGAAAUAAGAUAACUCUAGCUGUAGUUAAUGAUAGGGUGUGCAUUGUUACAGUAGCUGGCGGAGUCCUUGCCUAGCUUAUUUUGGUGGGAGUGAUUAAUGUAGUUACAUGUAACAAGGUUACAUGGUGCUACACAGGAGACUGCAAAAGUGUAAUUACAGAACAUGUUAGCUACAUUUGGAACAAGACAUCUUGUAAUUACAUAAAUCACGAGUAAUUACACGUGGAAUAAUCUCAGACAAACUGGUUUGUAAUAACAUAUCUUUGUUACACUUGUGUAAAAACGUAUUACCCUUAUUACAUACACCUGGCCUCCACAAUCCCCCGACCUCAACCAAAUUGAGAUGGUUUUGGAUGAGUCGGACCACAGAAUGAAGGAAAAGCAGCCAACAAGUGCUUAG